GGGGAUGUGGCUCAGUGGUAGAGUGCUUACUUAACGUGUGGCCCUGGGUUCCAUCCCAGCAUAGCCA
rnacentral:tRNA from 1 species